AUUGAACGCUGGCGGCAGGCCUAACACAUGCAAGUCGAGCGGAUGACGGGAGCUUGCUCCUUGAUUCAGCGGCGGACGGGUGAGUAAUGCCUAGGAAUCUGCCUGGUAGUGGGGGACAACGUUUCGAAAGGAACGCUAAUACCGCAUACGUCCUACGGGAGAAAGCAAGGGACCUUCGGGCCUUGCGCUAUCAGAUGAGCCUAGGUCGGAUUAGCUAGUAGGUGAGGUAAUGGCUCGCCUAGGCGACGAUCCGUAACUGGUCUGAGAGGAUGAUCAGUCACACUGGAACUGAGACACGGUCCAGACUCCUACGGGAGGCAGCAGUGGGGAAUAUUGGACAAUGGGCGAAAGCCUGAUCCAGCCAUGCCGCGUGUGUGAAGAAGGUCUUCGGAUUGUAAAGCACUUUAAGUUGGGAGGAAGGGCAGUAAGCUAAUACCUUGCUGUUUUGACGUUACCGACAGAGUAAGCACCGGCUAACUCUGUGCCAGCCGCCGCAGUAACAC
rnacentral:rRNA from 1 species